GAUGGGGUAGAAAGAUGCUUUGAAAGGGGAUAAAACUUGCUGCCAGGCUUUCCUCCAUGAGCAAGUCCAAUUUCUUUCUCUCUUUUUAAUUUUUUUUUUCUUUUGGUUCUGUGUUAUUCCUCCGUGGGCAGGAGGCUGCAGGCAUUUCAAUUUUUUUCAAGUUCUUGUUACAAAAAGGGCCCAAAAUAUGUUCUCUUCUCAGAGGCAGUAAACAGCAAGUGCACAGUGCAGCUUCUCUAAGCCUCUCUUCUCCUGUCUCAGGGAGAAAGGAGUUCUCCAAGCCCUAGAGCCUGAGUCACUCGCUGUGUGAGCAUGAAUUAACCAGGAAUGUUCGAGAAUUAUUCCUGAAUAAUUCAUGAACCUGAAUUAAUCAUGCAUUUUCAUGAAUUAUUCAUGAAUAACUCAUGGAAAUGCAAGGUUUAUUCAUGCUCCAAAAAACCCAAGGCUUUUCCCCUUCUCUUCUGCUUUCUCUCCCUUGGGGACAGCAGGUGGGAGCUUUCCAAGCCAGACAAAGGAGACCUGACAAGGACCUGUGGUGAAGGGACAAGCACAAGGCAAGGAAGUGUCCGGUCACCUCCUCUGCUGGAACAGGCAGCAGAGACCUGGAGAGACAGGAGACAUCUUGCAAGACUCAACACCUGGAGCAGUGCUAACCAGGUGGGCAGCCCUGAUGUCAGCCAAGCUCUACGUGCUCAUCACUGGCCCGACGGCAGCCGGGUUAUCGACAUCGAGAACAUCAAGGAGCCCCGCAAGCCCUUCCACCUCUGCACUGUGGGGGAGCAGGUCCUGGCCCGCUGCCCUGGAUUCAGUGGGCUGUACUGGGGUGUGGUGGAAGGCAUAAGUGAGCACAAAGGUAUUUUGGAGAAGAAGCUGCUGGAAGAUCGACAGCUCCUGGAGAAGUUAAAAGAAGAACCAGCUGUCCACAGCAUGAUGCCAUCCCCACCAAAAAAAUCCAGGAAAACCUUUCCAAAAUGGACCUCAGGGAAUGCAUCCAGGAAAUACCCCAGUGACAGGAACUCUCCUGCAAAGCCACUGCUGAGGGUGGCUGAGGCCAGCCUGCCCCGUGAUGCCAGCAGCUCCUCCAUCAAGGACAGGCGUGUCCUGGGAAGCGUGGCAGGGAGUCCCUGCUCACUGGCAGCUCCCCCCACCCAGCCAGUGCCUUCACACCUCCAUCCACCUUCAUCACCAUGGCCAUGCCAGGGCCAGGGACUUCCCAGAGUGAAGAGGACAGGGCUGGUCCAGCUGCCAGAGAUUAUGUUGCCCUUCCAAUGAAGAGGAAGCCAGAUGGCAUCUUGUCCCCGUGCCAACAGCAGAUCUGUCUGAACAGCCGUGAGGAGCGCAAGAUUGAUGCUUUGCAAGAGAUGGAUGGCUUUGAAAGGGCUCACAAAAAUGUCAGUCCUGGUGAGAUGGAAAGGGUGGAGAAGAUGGAGCAGCUGGAAAGGAUGGUGUUGGACCUCCAACAGGACGUCCUCUCUCUGAAGAAGAAGGUGCAGAGGCUGGAAUCCCUGUCCUUCCAGG